GCCUACGGGGGGCAGCAGUGGGGAAUCUUGGACAAUGGGCGCAAGCCUGAUCCAGCCAUGCCGCGUGGGCGAGGAAGGUCUUCGGAUCGUAAAGCCCUUUUCUCGGGGAAGAACCGCCUCUACAGGAAAUGGUAGGGGUCUGACGGUACCCGAGGAAUAAGCAACGGCUAACUCCGUGCCAGCAGCCGCGGUAAUACGGAGGUUGCAAGCGUUGUUCGGAAUGACUGGGCGUAAAGGGAGCGCAGGCGGCUUGUUAAGUCUGGAGUGAAAGCCCGGGGCUCAACCCCGGCGGGUCUUCGGAUACUGGCAAGCUUGAGUACGGAAGAGGAGAGCGGAAUUCCAGGUGUAGCGGUGAAAUGCGUAGAUAUCUGGAGGAACACCGGUGGCGAAAGCGGCUCUCUGGUCCGAUACUGACGCUCAGGCUCGAAAGCGUGGGGAGCAAACGGGAUUAGAUACCCUGGUAGC
rnacentral:rRNA from 1 species